AUUGAACGCUGGCGGCAUGCCUUACACAUGCAAGUCGAACGGCAGCACGGAGCUUGCUCUGGUGGCGAGUGGCGAACGGGUGAGUAAUAUAUCGGAACGUACCCUGGAGUGGGGGAUAACGCAGCGAAAGUUGCGCUAAUACCGCAUACGAUCUACGGAUGAAAGUGGGGGAUCGCAAGACCUCAUGCUCGUGGAGCGGCCGAUAUCUGAUUAGCUAGUUGGUAGGGUAAAAGCCUACCAAGGCAUCGAUCAGUAGCUGGUCUGAGAGGACGACCAGCCACACUGGGACUGAGACACGGCCCAGACUCCUACGGGAGGCAGCAGUGGGGAAUUUUGGACAAUGGGGGCAACCCUGAUCCAGCAAUGCCGCGUGAGUGAAGAAGGCCUUCGGGUUGUAAAGCUCUUUUGUCAGGGAAGAAACGGUGAUUCUUAAUACGGAUUGCUAAUGACGGUACCUGAAGAAUAAGCACCGGCUAACUACGUGCCAGCAGCCGCGGUAAUACGUAGGGUGCAAGCGUUAAUCGGAAUUACUGGGCGUAAAGCGUGCGCAGGCGGUUAUGUAAGUCAGAUGUGAAAUCCCCGGGCUCAACCUGGGAAUGGCAUUUGAGACUGCAUGGCUAGAGUGUGUCAGAGGGGGGUAGAAUUCCACGUGUAGCAGUGAAAUGCGUAGAUAUGUGGAGGAAUACCGAUGGCGAAAGGCAGCCCCCUGGGAUAACACUGACGCUCAUGCACGAAAGCGUGGGAGCAAACAGGAUUAGAUACCCUGGUAGUCCACGCCCUAAACGAUGUCUACUAGUUGUCGGGUCUUAAUUGACUUGGUAACGCAGCUAACGCGUGAAGUAGACCGCCUGGGGGAGUAACGGU
rnacentral:rRNA from 1 species